GUUGCAUAUGUGAUGAGAAUCCAUGUAAUAUGGCUACCUAGUGUAAGAUGCACGAUGAUGGUACUUUUUGUUCACCUUGGAGAACUGAUAUGCAAC
rfam:Lingula anatina scaffold380, whole genome shotgun sequence.